rnacentral:rRNA from 1 species
AUUGAACGCUGGCGGCAUGCCUAACACAUGCAAGUCGAACGAGUGGCGGACGGGUGAGUAAUGUCUGGGAAACUUCCCGAUGGAGGGGGAUAACUACUUGAAACGGUAGCUAAUACCGCCUACCAUCCAAUGUGCCCAGAUGGGAUUAGCUAGUAGGUGGGGUAAUGGCUCACAUAGGCGACGAUCCCUAGCUGGUCUGAUAGUAUGACCAGCCAAACGGGAACUGGGAACGGGUCAAGACUCUUACGGGAGGAAGAAGUGGGGAAUAUUGCAAAAUGGGGGCAGGCCUGAGGAAGACAUGCCGGGGGUAGGAAGAAGGCCUCCGGGUUGUAAAGUACUUUAAGCGAGGAGGCGUUACUCGCAGAAGAAGCCACGGCUAACUCCGUGCCAGCAGCCGCGGUAAUUC